UACGAAGGGGGCUAGCGUUGUUCGGAAUUACUGGGCGUAAAGCGCGCGCAGGUGGUCUUUCAAGUCAGUGGUGAAAGCCCGGAGCUCAACUCCGGAAAUGCCAUUGAAACUGUGAGACUUGAGGAUGAGAGAGGUGAGUGGAAUUCCCAGUGUAGAGGUGAAAUUCGUAGAUAUUGGGAAGAACGCCGGAGGCGAAGGCGGGUUGCUGGGCCGACACUGACGCUGAGGCGCGAAAGCCAGGGGAGCAAACGGG
rnacentral:rRNA from 1 species